ACCAGAUCUGCCAGUAACUUGAUCUUGGAUUUCCCAGCUCCAGAACUACGAGAAAUAUAAAUAGUUUGUUGUUUAAACCUAUGAUAAUUUGUUAUGGCAGUCCAACCCUACUAAGACAAAUAUAAUGGGCUUUAAUGGGUGGUUAGCCCAUUCUUUCUAUAUUUAUUAUGCUGGCAUUCUAUUGUAAGGAAGAACAUUCUCCUCACCUCUUUACCCCCUUAAAACAGACAAAACUUUGUUUAUAUAUGUAUGGACUAAUAGAUGCCUAUUUUAUUCAUUGAGUUGUAAUUCAUUGCUGUCACUAUUUUGAUGCUCAAAUUUGGCCAGUGAGAGUCCCUUCAAGUUAGCUUCUUUGGUUGCUUGGUUGGUUGGUUGGUUUUGUGUUUCAAAAUUUGCUUGUGACAGAAUAUAUAUAACAUAAUAAAGUAUGCCAUUGACACAA
rnacentral:sRNA from 1 species